rnacentral:rRNA from 1 species
UACGAAGGGGGCUAGCGUUGCUCGGAAUCACUGGGCGUAAAGCGCACGUAGGCGGCUUUUUAAGUCAGGGGUGAAAUCCUGGAGCUCAACUCCAGAACUGCCUUUGAUACUGAGAAGCUUGAGUCCGGGAGAGGUGAGUGGAACUGCGAGUGUAGAGGUGAAAUUCGUAGAUAUUCGCAAAAACACCAGUGGCGAAGGCGGCUCACUGGCCCGAUACUGACGCUGAGGCACGAAAGCGUGGGGAGCAAACAGG